rnacentral:snRNA from 1 species
AGCUAGGUGGACAGGCCGA